GACGUAGGGCGCGAGCGUUGUCCGGAUUUCUUGGGCGUAAAGAGCUCGUAGGCGGCUUGUCGCGUCGAAUGUGAAAUCUCAGGGCUCAACUCUGACAUUGCAUUCGAUACGGGCAGGCUAGAGUUCGGUAGGGGAGACUGGAAUUCCUGGUGUAGCGGUGAAAUGCGCAGAUAUCAGGAGGAACACCGGUGGCGAAGGCGGGUCUCUGGGCCGAUACUGACGCUGAGGAGCGAAAGCGUGGGGAGCGAACAGG
rnacentral:rRNA from 1 species